CGAUGCAACGCGAAGAACCUUACCAAGGCUUGACAUACACCGGUAACGCCCAGAGACUGGGUGCCCCUUGUGGUCGGUGUACAGGUGGUGCAUGGUUGUCGUCAGCUCGUGUCGUGAGAUGUUGGGUUAAGUCCCGCAACGAGCGCAACCCUCGUCCUAUGUUGCCAGCGGGUCAUGCCGGGGACUCAUGGGAGACUGCCGGGGUCAACUCGGAGGAAGGUGGGAUGACGUCAAAUCAUCAUGCCCCUUAUGUCUUGGGCUUCACGCAUGCUACAAUGGCCGGUACAAAGGGCUGCGAUACCGCGAGGUGGAGCGAAUCCCAGAAAGCCGGUCUCAGUUCGGAUUGGGGUCUGCAACUCGACCCCAUGAAGUCGGAGUCGCUAGUAAUCGCAGAUCAGCAACGCUGCGGUGAAUACGUUCCCGGGCCUU
rnacentral:rRNA from 1 species